GACGUAGGGGGCAAGCGUUGUCCGGAAUUACUGGGCGUAAAGCGUGCGCAGGCGGUUUGUUAAGUCCGCUGUGAAAUCCCCGAGCUCAACUUGGGAAUUGCAGUGGAUACUGGCAAGCUGGAGUAUGGUAGAGGAAGGUGGAAUUCCCGGUGUAGCAGUGAAAUGCGUAGAGAUCGGGAGGAACACCAGUGGCGAAGGCGGCCUUCUGGACCAAUACUGACGCUCAUGCACGAAAGCGUGGGGAGCAAACAGG
rnacentral:rRNA from 1 species